CCUACGGGUGGCAGCAGUAGGGAAUAUUGCUCAAUGGGGGAAACCCUGAUGCAGCAACGCCGCGUGGAGGAUGAAGGUUUUAGGAUUGUAAACUCCUUUUGUGAGAGAAGAUAAUGACGGUAUUUCUCGCCUAAUCACCUGCUGACUCCGUGCCAGCAGCCGCGGUAAUCCGGCGGGCGCAAGCGUUACUCGGAAUCACUGGUCGUAAAGAGUGCGCAGGCGGGUUUGUAAGUCAGAUGUGAAAUCCUGUAGCUUAACUACCGAAGUGCAUUUGAGACUUUGAGUCGAGAGUGUUGGAGAGGUAGGUAGAAUUCUUGGUGUAGGGGUAAAAUGCGUAGAGAUGAAGAGGAAUACUCAUUGCGAAGGCGACCUACUGGAACAUUACUGACGCUCAGGCGCGAAAGCGUGGGGAGCAAACAGGAUUAGAUACCCGUGUAGUC
rnacentral:rRNA from 1 species